rnacentral:rRNA from 1 species
GAUGAACGCUGGCGGUAUGCUUAACACAUGCCAGUCGAACGGACUCUUCGGAGUUAGUGGCGGACGGGUGAGUAACGCGUGAGAAUCUGGCUUUGGGUUCGGGACAACCACUGGAAACGGUGGCUAAUACCGGAUGUGCCGAGAGGUAAAAGAGAAAUUGCCUGAAGAUGAGCUCGCGUCUGAUUAGCUAGUUGGUGAGGUAAAGGCUCACCAAGGCAGCGAUCAGUAGCUGGUCUGAGAGGAUGACCAGCCACACUGGGACUGAGACACGGCCCAGACUCCUACGGGAGGCAGCAGUGGGGAAUUUUCCGCAAUGGGCGAAAGCCUAACGGAGCAAUACCGCGUGAGGGAAGAAGGCUCUUGGGUUGUAAACCUCUUUUCUUAGGGAAGAACAAAAUGACGGUACCUAAGGAAUCAGCAUCGGCUAACUCCGUG